rnacentral:rRNA from 1 species
CCUACGGGAGGCAGCAGUGAGGAAUAUUGGACAAUGGGCGCAAGCCUGAUCCAGCCAUGCCGCGUGCAGGAAGAAGCAUCUAUGGUGUGUAAACUGCUUUUGUACGGGAAGAAACACUGCUACGUGUAGCGGCUUGACGGUACCGUAAGAAUAAGGAUCGGCUAACUCCGUGCCAGCAGCCGCGGUAAUACGGAGGAUCCAAGCGUUAUCCGGAAUCAUUGGGUUUAAAGGGUCCGUAGGCGGUUUGGUAAGUCAGUGGUGAAAGCCCAUCGCUUAACGAUGGAACGGCCAUUGAUACUGCCAGACUUGAAUUACUAGGAAGUAACUAGAAUAUGUAGUGUAGCGGUGAAAUGCUUAGAUAUUACAUGGAAUACCAAUUGCGAAGGCAGGUUACUACUAGUUUAUUGACGCUGAUGGACGAAAGCGUGGGGAGCGAACAGGAUUAGAUACCCUGGUAGUCCACGCCGUAAACGAUGGAUACUAGCUGUUCGGGGUAACCUGAGUGGCUAAGCGAAAGUGAUAAGUAUCCCACCUGGGGAGUACGUUCGCAAGAAUGAAACUCAAAGGAAUUGACGG